rnacentral:rRNA from 1 species
UACGUAGGGAGCAAGCGUUGUUCGGAUUUACUGGGCGUAAAGGGCGCGUAGGCGGCGCUGUAAGUCACUUGUGAAAUCUCUGAGCUUAACUCAGAACGGCCAAGUGAUACUGCAGUGCUAGAGUGCAGAAGGGGCAAUCGGAAUUCUUGGUGUAGCGGUGAAAUGCGUAGAUAUCAAGAGGAACACCUGAGGUGAAGACGGGUUGCUAGGCUGACACUGACGCUGAGGCGCGAAAGCUAGGGGAGCAAACGGG